rnacentral:rRNA from 1 species
UACGUAGGGUGCAAGCGUUGUCCGGAAUUAUUGGGCGUAAAGAGCUCGUAGGCGGUUUGUCGCGUCUGCUGUGAAAACUGGAGGCUCAACCUCCAGCCUGCAGUGGGUACGGGCAGACUAGAGUGCGGUAGGGAGAUUGGAAUUCCUGGUGUAGCGGUGGAAUGCGCAGAUAUCAGGAGGAACACCGGUGGCGAAGGCGGGUCUCUGGGCCGAUACUGACGCUGGAGGAGCGAAAGCGUGGGGAGCGAACAGG